rnacentral:rRNA from 1 species
UCUGCCUGGGAGCGGGGGAUAACCUGGGGAAACUCGGGCUAAUACCGCAUACGUUGGUGGGGAUACGUCCUCGUCAAGAAAGCUGGCCUCUGCUUGCAAGCUAGCGCUCCUGGAGGAGCCCGCGGCUGAUUAGCUAGUUGGUGGGGUAAAGGCUCACCAAGGCGACGAUCAGUAGCCGGCCUGAGAGGGUGAUCGGCCACACUGGGACUGAGACACGGCCCAG